GUUACUGCUAGCUGUGACUGUGGACUACAAAUCCCAGAGGCACCUGGAAGGAGGAAGAGGAAGCAAACACACAGCCCAUGCUGACUACAUACCAGAGAGCUGUCCUGGAAGCAGGAAGAGGAAGUGAUGAGCAAACCUGCAGAGUCUUGCUGUUGUGAUUGUGGACUACAAAUCCCAGAGACCUUGGGGCAGCAGGAAGAGGAAGUGAGUACAUAGCCCUUGCUGGCUACAUGUUAGAGAGCUGUGCUCUAUCACCCCCCAGCUUCUGGCCUGAGCCAUGGCAGGCAUGUGGCUGCAUUUCCUGAAUCAAAGGUCUAUAAAGGCUAUGAGCCAGGGAGGGUGAGUCAUUUUGUGCUGAGCAGCUGGAACAGGGGCAACUUCUGCACUUGCAGAGUGGGCUUGAACAGCUUCCAGUCACGGGUUACACAGAGGGCUGAAGCCAGCAGAGUGAUGUUGGCUGUGGAUGGAUCCCUGGGAUGGAGAUGGCAAUGAAGACUUCCAGGGAAACCAGUUUCUUUAGAUGCUGUAUGUUGAGGAACAUAUAUACAAUUGUCAUAUAGCAUUAUAUCCUGCAAAUGAAGACUGAAAGGGUACACAACUUUAAGAAGCAUCGAAUAAUGCAUGGGUAAGCAGUUGAUCUGAAACGGGUAAGCAUCAAGGAAGGGGUCCCGGCUAAGAGUCGUACUGUAUACUCUAGUAAACUACCAAUAUACAAUUAUAAAAAUACACAAAAUAUAAGAUGCAGUGUUACAAAAUAUAAGGUGUAUAAACAUCAAAAAUAAACUUGACUCUUCAAAAAUCCCCAAAGCCCAGGCUGUCCUGAAGACCUUGGCUGCACUCCAGUGACUGGUGGGAGGGGAAAACCCUAAUGCCCUUGGCCCUUCCACAAACCCCAAUGAAGUCUAUGAACUCAGAGGGGCCUGCUCCCCCUGGGAGCUCUCCUCCAAGAGCCCCUUAUUAGCCAGGAGGAAUUUCCCCCUCCCUGUGGGAAUCCUUUUCCCCAGCAACUCACAACUCCGGGUCCAGAGCAAGUGGUCCUUGGCCCCUCAGGUGUGUUGCUCCUGCGGGUCCAGCACCUCAUCUUGCCCCUAGGUAGCACCAGCCAAAGACAGCACAGCGCUGUGCAGAGCUCGGUUAUCCCCGCUCUCCCAUGUACCUGUCCAGGCAGCUUGAGUUGCUCUGCUCAUUCCUCAGUUAGCUGACAUGUGAAAGCUAAUGCAGCAGGCCCAUAUUUCCAGGGUCUGGGAUAUCGGUGAGUGUAACCUUCUUUGGAAAUGGCCAGCUGUAAGCUGUAGCUGUUCCUCUAUUUAACCUCCGAUGUUCCACUAGAUGUUUUUCUCUUUAUGUUCUUAAUGCAUUUUACAUGCUUGGAUCACUGCCAUUUAAAUAGAUUUGGGGACCAGGAAUGCAUUUUAAAAAGCCACUAGAGGGCACCUCUGCAUAAAUGUAGCUGAGAAUUGUGUGUGAAAUGGCACAGGAAGGGAUUCUGAUGUCUGAGCUGGGUACCUAGGCAGCAGCUGCUGUAUUAAUCAGUGAUUUUAAUAUAGCGCUUUUUGGGACCAGGGUUGAUCCAGACAAGUCCUCUGCUGGGUAAUUUUAUUGCUGACCACAUGGUGCCAGCGUGACUGCAAAAAUCAUGGCUCUGUGCGGGCAUACAAACACCCAGACUACGUUCAUCAGCUGCAGUGGGACCAGAAACCUCAGGUGCUCACUGUGCAGCCAUCGGUAGGGGGGCAAAGACAUGGUGGGCAGUACUCUGGCAUGGCCCAGAGGCACGCUUAGUUUGGGGUAUCAUUUAAAAUAGAAAUAGGCCUUUCCUAGCUAGUUACUGAUCUCAUGAGCUUGCUGAAGGAUACUUCUACAUCACUCCUGGCCUAAGCAAACCCCACUGACCUCCAUGGAAGAGUACUUGGUUACACUAGGGGUGAGCUUGAUCCAGGGGGAGGGUACAUGGGUGCACUUGGACCCCUCCUUUGAUUCCUGCUCCACCCAAAAUUUAAAACCAGCUGCCUUGCAGUAGCAGGAGCUUUUCUAGCCGGCAGUGCUGAGGGAGUCACUUGAUUAAAUGGCUCAUUAUCAUCUACCUGAUCCCUUCUACAAGUGUUAAUGACCCUCUCUUCUUUCUAAAGGUCUUGAUGUUCCACCAAUCAAGCUAUCCUUUGUUCUGCAAAUCUGCUGUCUGUUACCUGCUCCUGGGAAUGAAGCUCUUAUUUCACAGCCCUGCAGCCUGUUCUUAAUUCAUUCCAAUGAAGCUAUAUUUGCAUCUGCUUCAAUCUUAAACUGAAUAAUUAACAGCCCUGGGCACUUGCAUAUUAUUAAAGCUUCUAGCUUAUUUUUAACUGGUUAAAAUAUGUCUUGCUUUAGGUAGAUGAUGCACCUCACCAUCUUCACCCCCCGUUUCGAAAUUCUAGAUCUGCCCAUGGUUUGAUCUGUCACCAAGUCCUGGAGAAGGCAAAACCUGUCGGCUUCAUCCUUAUUCAGAUUACGUCGUGUAAGCAGGACAGCUGGAAGGAAUUAACCCACUGCCAUAGGGGCCUGUUACUGCCCCAUCCAAAGCAAAGAGGUGGUUGCUUUUUCUCAGAAAAGACUUACCAUUGACCAUCUUGGUGCUGAGAGAGGGAAUUAUUUUUUGCUCUUAUUUGACUCUCAUUUAAGGGGAGAUAAUGUAAGUGCCAACUACUGAAUGGAAUCGGGGUUGCCCAACGGUGUGCAGUAGGUCCUAGGCUACUAGCCUUUACUGGAGGUGCCCCACAUAGAAGCAUUUGUACCUGAAUUAAGUGGAUCUAAACUGCAUAUCAGCUGUCAAAGAUGAGUGGCCAUCGUGUGAAGUAUGCUGGCAAAUGGCGUUUUGCGUGGCAGGGAAGCCGUUGCCAAUAACGUACCUGAGAUGAGACGUAGCGAGGACUGAGCUUUGUUAAAGUAAAUUGGAUGCAACUAUUUGCAGCGUUUUGUAUUUUUAACAAGGCAGUCUUUUAACUCUUCCAGCUUUUUGUGCUGGGUAAAGAGUCGAAUAUGAAACGGUCACAGAAAAAGUCACCAGAUAAGACAAAUAUUUUCACUCGAGAUGGGUGAACACUGAGCAGUCACUCGAACGUUAAGGAAAGGUUGUAACAGAAGCUGCAGUUGAAACAAGAAUUCGCAGCCUUGCGGUUUUUAUUAUUGCUGAUGUAGGUUCAUUGCAGCUAUUCAUGGUAUAUUGCUCCCCCCAAGUGGCUGUCUAGUUAUUUUAUUUUUCAGGCAUCGGUUCAACAUCAGUUCAUAAAUGAGUGUGGGCCAAAUGCUCUUUUUUAUCACCCUUAGCAUUUUUCAAACAGUUUCCUGUGUGAACGUAUGGGCUUGCAAGAACGUUUGCAGAAAGCACAGUUGCUUAGACCUCAAAUGUCUGACUUACCCCUAAUUUAAAAAGUCAACCCAGACAAAAUAAUAUGUGGUGACUUUGGUCAAACACGCAGCAAAUUGAUGAAGGUGCCUUUAGACAUGAGAUCCAGUCCAGAGCAUUGAAAUCACUGGAUUUAAUGAACAAACUCAAAGUCUAUUUAUGCAUCACUUGGAAAUAGAGGGGGAAACCUCCAUCCUUCAGAUGCCUGAUGCUGCUCUGGCCCUGACUGGCAGUGGUAUAAGUAAUAGGGCAUUCUGCUAUAGGCUCUGCUAGGGCAUGUAGUGAGAUGACUCUGGUUUACAGCGAUUCCUCACGGUCUGCCUUAGUGUGGAGGCAUUUCCCAAACUCCCCUGGGCACCAGAUCCCAUCACGCUGCCUUGCUUAGCUAGGAAAACAUCCUUCCAAUGAAUUCUGUGUACUGAACUCAGCCUGUGCGAGUCAAUGCCUCCCCACUGCUCGAAGAAGAUUUCUGCCAGCUUGUUCUCUGGGAGAGUCAUUCUCUGUGAUGUCGAUGCAUUUUUAAGUCUUUCUCUCCAGUUAAAUUUCCAGUCUCCAUCCAAGGAGCAACCGAGUCCUCGGUGCCUCAUCCAGCAGCAGCAGAGCUGCUAUUACAAAGUUAACUGUACCUUAGGGAGGGGGGUGCUUGGGAAAGCAAGUGCCUUAUGGGUGUGGAAGAUGUAGGAACCCCCUGGAGCCACAGACCCCAGAAACCUAUCGUAGGACUUCCAAGUUCCUGAUUUUAGCAGCAAGGCACCUGGGGUUGUGGCUUUUGGGGUUUCCAAGGGUCGUUGGCCUUGUGGAGCACUAGACCCUGGGGGCACAGGGCCUGCCCAGCGGCUCGCCAGCUGAGCGAGGAGGGGACUGAGCAGGAUUCUCCGGGACACCUGUUUGUGCUGGCUCAGAGUUGACACUUGGUGUCUUUCUAUGAAACGUUCUGGCUCUGAUGAACCAGUGCUUUCUGAUGACAUUGCAUUUCUUCUGAACAUUUCCAGCUGGAUCUACAAGGAGCUGGAUACUCUGGUGACUUCUGUGUUUAACCAGGGAAGGCAGUGGGAGAUAAGCGAUGAUCAGACCUUAUGCCUUGGGACAUAUGAAGACUGUUAAAAGAAAGCUGGAUGGGGGAUAGGGGUCUGGAGUAUCAUCUUUUGUUGUUUCAGAUCAGGAACGAAGAAUCUUUCCAGUCUGUGUCGUGGUAUCUUCCCACUGUAACUAAUGAUGGAAGGAUGCUCAUUUAUUCUUGCUGCUUGUGUAUUGGCUUCUAGAUACGUUAUGCUCAUACCUCCAUGUACAUUAUGCUGUAUUCAAAGCAGUCAGGGUUAAAGGCAUAUAAAAAUAAUGUAGCAUGCACCAAAGAGAUAAAAAGGGCAAUAGCUUGUGCAUAUGCUCUACCUAAGCCAGCUCUUCAAAUUGACACAUCAUGGAUCAAGCUCUGAAGUCAGGGAUGGCUUUGGAAAAUGUAACGCUUCACAAUUCUGAGUGACAAAUUGACACCUUGACAAGAAACUGUCUCAUCACUUCUGAGCUAAAGUUACUAAUAACUUGGACAGAAAGUGCUGUAUUUAUUGGCAAACACUGCUGUCAUAUUGAGACGUUUUGAUGUGCCCCGUAAACAUAGGAACAAAUGGUAAGAAAGGCUAAAUAAAUAUAACAUGGCCAAUGCUAAGCAUUCAAAUAAUGAAUGGGGCCACAGAAAUGUUCUUUUUGAUCAUCAUGUUGGGCUCAUGUGCUUUCUGAUCUGAGCCAUUAGGGUAUGUUGGAAUUGCAUUUUUUUUACCCUUUUUCUCCAUAUGUAUUAGUGUUAGGAACUUUUCUAUGAGUUAACGUAUCAUUGCUUGUGUCAGGAAGUCAAUUUCAAAUGAAAUGUUAAAAGCCAUAAAAGUAAAAAAAAAAUCAUGACUUUGGCAACCAUUUCAGGAGGUCUUAUCUACAAAGAGGAGGGUUUGGAAGGGGCAUCCUCAGGGACCAAUGCCUAUGACAUUGCAAGUUCCCUAAUUAAGACAAACCCCUGAGGUGUGUUCACCCUACAAAGGUGCCAAAAGAGAGUCGAGGAAUGAGGAGAGCAGUACUAAGCUCUGAGUACUUCUUUCUGAGAUGCUUGUACAAUCACAGUUUAGUCAAACUUUGUGGCAUGACUCGGCCUUUAUAUCAGUGUGUGACAAAGGGCCAGCCUGAGACUGAGCUCUGCGUCGGCCUACCCACCUGUCUUGGUCAGUCUGCCCGCCUAUCUUACCUGCCACGCCUUGUUAGUAAAUAAUUAAGUUGUUUAUUAGGUGGGAGGCUGCCCUUCAUGCGCUCAGCUAUGCCAAACCCUGCCUCCUGCCAGCCAGUUGAUGUUAGCAGGUGUGGCCCAUUACUCCCUUAGGCUGUUAGCCUGGCAACCUGCAGCUGGGGAUCUCUGCUUAGUCUGCUGAGCUCCCUGGCCAGGCCAGGCUUCUUCAGCCUUAAGGAGCAGGCACAUCUUAGUGCCCUGCUACACAGCAGUUAGGAUGGGUGAAGGCAAAUACAGAAUG